AUGGAGGGAGGUUCCCAAUGUAUUCCCAGAUUCCUCCAGUUAAAAACUUCCCACCCGCAGACAUCCCAGUGCAUCCCUUUGGAGAACAAAACGCAAGGGGAAUCCAGAGAUGAUGUUCGGCUUCCUGCUGCUGAGACAAAUGGUGAGGCUGUUAAACUCUGCCAUUGUCCCAUGCCCUUUAGAGUGGAAAGAGUUUGUACUCCUUGCUCUAAGAUUUACGUGGCAGCACUCUCCAACGCCAGGCAGCCGGGAAGUCUCCAGCUGAAACGUCUCCACAAGCUGAUGGGAAGCGGCGAGACCCACACUGCCUUCAUCACUGUCAUCCCCAUCAGUGGAGCCAAAGGGUCAGAAAACUUCCAUCCCCCCCGUUGUGGUCUCUAUUUUGGGUUCCAGUGCUGCAGCAGCAUUCAUCUUUGUUACAUCCAUGGCAUGCCAUCAGCUCGCAGGUGAUGAGGAAAAGCAGAUGCAGUUUGUGCUGACCCUGCAUACAUCCUUCAGUGAGCAGAAGUGCUCCAAAACCCAACCCCUGCUGCUGCUGAGGAGGUAUUGGACUCGACGAUCCUUAUGGGUCUCUUCCAACUUGGGACGUUCUAUGCUUCUAUGAUUCUACACAAAGGGUAAAAAAAG
rnacentral:lncRNA from 1 species